rnacentral:rRNA from 1 species
UAGCCUAACGGCUGAACCAGCAACUUGGAGGAAUGUAUGGCGAAAGCUGGUUGCAUUUACUAAAAAGGUGCAAGAUUGAUUCUAUCGAAUAAAGUUCUAGAUAGGUUAUGAUGAUGACAUUUCCUGUCUAUGUGUCUUGACUAAAUUACGUGCCAGCAGUCGCGGUAAUACGUAGAAGACUAGUGUUAUUCAUCUUUAAUAGGUUUAAAGGGUACCUAGACGGUAAAUCAAGUCCAAAAAGGAUACUAAUUUGCUAGAGUUUAAUGUGAGGGGGCACUAAAGUACUGAUAAGUGUAGAGAUGAAAUUCUGUGAUACAAUAUAAGGACAGGUAAAGGCGAAAGCAUCUCAUUAUGUAAUAACUGACGUUGAGGGACGAAGGCUAGGAGAAGCAAAAAGGAUUAGAUACCCAAGUAGUCUUAGCAGAAAAUUAUGAAUGUCAUAGGAUGGAAAUAGUGGAUAACAAUUUUUUUUUCUAUAAAUGAAAGUGUAAGCAUUCCACCUCGAGAGUAAUUUGGCAACAUUGGAACUGAAAUCAUUAGACCGUUUCUGAAACAAGUAGUGAAGUAUGUUGUUUAAUUUGAUGGUCCGCAAAAAACCUUACCACAAUUUGGAUAGAAAUUUUUAUUUUAUACAAGCGCUGCACGGUUGUCUCCAGUUAAUGUCGUGAGAUCUUGGUUAGUUCCAUUAAAUUAACGUAAACCCUUACUUUAUUUAUAUAUAGAGUAGUUCACCGCUAGAUUGGAUGUGAUAACAGGGACUAAGACAAGUCAUCAUGGCCUUAAUAUUGUGGGCUAUAGACGUGCCACAUUUGCCUUACAAAGGGAUG